CCCUCUUCUGUUCCUUCUUCUGCAUCUUCCACUAGCUCAACAUUGGUCCCUGCUCUACCCCAGAGCAUCACAUUCCUUUCCCAACUCUAUUCCCUGUUCUGAAGAAGCUGUAUGUGAGCUCCUAAAUCAAGUCCUUCUAGCACAGAGCCUUCUAUUAAAGGCAGAGGAGGGGUUCACCUCCCCAAGGCAAUGUGCCUGACAACUCAGGUCUCCUGAGGGCCAAAGAGCCUGGGUGGAGCUGUUGGAUUUUCAAGGGAGCUGGAGCAAGCAGCAGGCUUUAAGCAUUCAGAUGCCCAGGCUGCGUCUUCACUCUGGCUGUUUUAAGAACCUGCGCUGCCAUUAACCUCUUCAAAGAUGCGUGGAUGCAACAUGUAGGGUCUGGGAUCUCCAGGUUUAAUGUUUACUGGGGGAGACCCUGGACUUCAAUCUGCUUGGGCCCCUUCUCUUGUUUGCUUCCUUUCCAGGGUCUCCGGUAGAGCUCCUAGGGACAGAGGAAUAAUUUGCAUUGCUAAUAGCCCAAGCUCCACUCCCCUUGUCUCCCAGGCUGAACUGCAGACACACAGGCCUCACAUGGAUGCUGUGCACACAAAGACUGAGCCCAGCAGACAGAAACAGAUUAGGGGGAAGCAGACAGGGUUGGAGCUAGAGAGAGACACGGAUUCAUA